CCAGUCUUUGGGUUCACAGCUUGGCUCUACAUUCAUUGCUGGAGGAAUCCAAGCCUCACAAAAGACCGCUUUUAAAGAAAAACUCUAUUUUUCUUAGAAGAACUAGAAUAUGUAACACCAUUGUGAGAAAUAAAACCCCAAGGUGAACAAGAUUGAAAGUGAAGGCAGCGCUCUAAGGAGGAAGCCAGCUGGCUUGAAUGGUGAUGUAAACAGCCUUGGAGCUUUAACCAAACUUGAGUAAGAACUCCCUGACUUGGAAACACUCAAGUUUCCCACACAUGACUGGAUGGCCCUGGCCACACUGGGAACGGAAUGGGGGCCUCCCAUUGGAACUCAGGGUGGAGGGGGAAGCUCGACCAGCUAUUGUGGCCCCCACUUCCAUUGACAAAUCUCUUCUGUAGGACGAGAAUGAUGGUACCUACCCAGGGAGUUAGGAAGAUCACAGCGAGUGAGGAAGUGCAUGUGGACAGAUGCUCAGCAAGUCUCCAUUUUCUCCCCGUCUCUUCCAAGCAAUAAAUGUAUUAAUAUGGUUCACGAUGAGAAAUGUGAAACUCACAGGAGUGAGGCUCGUAACACCAUUUCCCAGCCCCUCCGGCGUGGAUCCUUUGUUGGUGGCUGCUGCCUGCCCUGUGCUCUCGGGUCUUGGUCUGGAGGGUGAGCCCUGCCCUUUCUUAUGUGUCUCCAGUGAAGCCUUCUGCUCAUGCUGAAAACAGCAAAGGUGGCUGGCUCAGCCUAUCCCUUCACUCUCAAUGUCUGGACAAUUAAUAUGUCAUUUCCUAAUCAGUGUAUGUUGAUGCGUUAUUUAUUCUAGCAUGAUGAUUGUGGCCAAAGAUCACCUCUGGCAUUGGCUCUCUAUUGUUUUGUACAUAUUAUUUCUCAGCACAGGCUUGAGAACAAUGGGCUCAUUGAUUCCACCUGACUCUUGGGAAGGAUGGACUUUGCCAGACUAAGGCUCUCUGAAUGCCAGCCUGGAAGUUCAUGAAUCCCCUUUUAGGAGUAAGCUGAGCCUUUGCGGUUGGGAGUGGUGAGGAAGGGAAUGUGCCUCUAUUUUCCUUGCUAUUUAUUGCUCUGCAUUAAAAAAAAAAUCUCUUUGCUUCUCUGACCAGAAAGAUGGUGUUUCAUUGAGGUAGAGCCCAUAGUAAUUAGGCCAGCAAUCAGCUUGUCCACACCAAAGUGCAUCACUUGCAUUCUCUGUGCACACUCUCUCUGCCUGCUCCACCCCGCCACAUCCCUCCUCUGCCUCCCUGUUUACGCGUUUGGUUCAGAAUGCAGAAACAAUGAAGGUGUUUAGGGAUCCUAGCCUCACGGGGUAGCAAUUGGUACAGAGAGGCUGUGACACAGA
rnacentral:lncRNA from 10 species